rnacentral:rRNA from 1 species
UACGGAAGGCAGCAGUGGGGAAUAUUGCACAAUGGGCGCAAGCCUGAUGCAGCCAUGCCGCGUGUAUGAAGAAGGCCUUCGGGUUGUAAAGUACUUUCAGCGGGGAGGAAGGCGAUGUGGUUAAUAACCGCGUCGAUUGACGUUACCCGCAGAAGAAGCACCGGCUAACUCCGUGCCAGCAGCCGCGGUAAUACGGAGGGUGCAAGCGUUAAUCGGAAUUACUGGGCGUAAAGCGCACGCAGGCGGUCUGUUAAGUCAGAUGUGAAAUCCCCCGGGCUUAACCUGGGAACUGCAUUUUGAAACUGGCAGGCUUGAGUCUCGUAGAGGGGGUAGAAUUCCAGGUGUAGCGGUGAAAUGCGUAGAGAUCUGGAGGAAUACCGGUGGCGAAGGCGGCCCCUGGACGAAGACUGACGCUCAGGUGCGAAAGCGUGGGGAGCAAACGAGGAUUAGAUACC